CGCCCCCUCCAUUACUCGACACACGCUUCGAAGCCUCGGCACGUCUCGUAACGUCACUACUGGCUGCUGUUGACCUUGUUUUUGGAGUAAAACACGGUGGAAGCUGAAUUAGUGAGGAUGACUCCUGCUCCUGUCAUCUCUAAGCUCCUCACACAUCUUUACCUGCACAUGAGGAAAAUCACUCCUGUAGAAUGCAGAUGUUCAGAGGGAGAUGAUGCCACAUCUGGUCCAGCUGAUGGAAGGUCUUGAAGUUCUCUGACUGGCCUCGACUGAAGAUGGUCGUCUCACUGGAUUUAAGAUGCACAAUGAGGGACGUCUGCAGAGACUGAGAAAGAGUCUCACCACAUCCUGACAUGAGGAAAAAGACUUUAUUGAAGACUACAAUGAGAAAAACUAUCAGACAGCAGACGGCUGCAUUCAAGUCUGUAGCUGCUGAAUUCAUGGAUGAAUCAUCUGGCACUAGAGAGGAAGACCAUCAAACAUCCAUGUCAGCUGAUGGAGGUCCAAGAGUCUCACCAAACAAACAACCUACAGAGUGAAGACCUCGAACCUGAUUGGACGGCCUCCUAUUCAGCCACAUGUGUGAACAAAUGCCUCUAAGCUGAUUUGUUUUCUAAAAUAAAUCUAGUUUGAGUCCUAAUCUAUGCCUGUGUGUUUGCGUCUUUACACGGCUGUUAACAGUUUAGGCUGUUAGAUUGUUCCAGAUAAGACAAGUACAAGAUUCUUCAGAGCCGUUCUACCACGAGCCUGACAGGAAGAACUCCAACAGCUACUGAAUGUUCCUGUGGUUCCCUCAAGGCUACAGGAGGAGUCCUACGAGGACGAGCCGGUCCACCUGAUGGAGGCCAGUCGCUGCGGUUCAAAGGCAACACCGACUACGUGGACUUCUACUGGACCACACGGAGGCCUUCAAACCGGACCAACAAGUUCAGCGACUCCCCGACUCGUGGGUCUGAGGACGCCGCCGAGCCUCGGUCCAGCCGGCCUCCUGUCUGUGGGUGUUUGAGUGCUGAGAGGUUUGUGGAUGCAUGUGAACGUGUCUGUGUUGAAACAGCAGCUUUGGACUCAGUAACGCCGGGAAAAACCAAGAGCUCCUUUAUUUGUGACUUCCACUAAAAAAAACUGAUGAAAAUAAGUUUGCCGGGG
ensembl:lncRNA